rnacentral:pre_miRNA from 1 species
AAUAAGAUCAUUUUUUAGUUUUUUGAUACAAUAACUCUUCGUCUUAUUUGAAAUUUUUUUACGAUUAGUAUUUUUAUUCUUACUAUAUGAUAAAAUAUGAAUAAUAGUUUAUGUGUGACUAUUUUUUUAAGUUUUUAUACAAAUUUUUCAAAUAAGAUGAAUGGUCAAAUGUUGGACACGGAAAA